rnacentral:rRNA from 1 species
UACGUAGGGGCCAAGCGUUGUCCGGAUUUAUUGGGCGUAAAGAGCUCGUAGGCGGCUCGGCAAGUCGAAUGUGAAAUCUCCACGCUCAACGUGGAGGGGUCAUUCGAUACUGCCGUGACUUGAGUACGGUAGGGGAGUGUGGAAUUCCCGGUGUAGCGGUGAAAUGCGCAGAUAUCAGGAGGAACACCGGUGGCGAAGGCGGGUCUCUGGGCCGAUACUGACGCUGAGGAGCGAAAGCGUGGGGAGCGAACAGG